AUGGCAUCAUCUUUGAGAAGGUAUGAAGAGGACUAGAGACACCUUCUCUGUAGCCUGCUUUUUGCUUGCACUGAAUGCAGUUGAAAAUUCAGAAUUUUUUACUUUCAGCCUAUAAUGGCAAAGAGGAAAAAAAGUAUAGGAAGAUGUUUCACAACUGUUAGAUGAAUUCGAAGGAGAAAGCCAAAAGAUAGCCGGUCUCUAGAUACCAAUGACGAUGAUGAAAUUGACCGUGUAAGUGAAAUCUCAGACUGUACAUCUACAGAUGGCAAUAUCCUCGACACAUUUCUGAGACUCAAAAUUUGAUGGAUAAAUGAUAUAUUUCCAUAGACCUAAAGGGAAUAUGGUGUUCUCAUCCAGUUAGCCAUUCCACCAGAAGGACUUUAUUAUGCAAUAUUCUGUCAACAGGACCUGGACUAUGUCAUUUGCUAAAAAGAUGCCUGGCAGUGUUUUUUCAACUUUUAUGAUGUUUGUACACUGAGAUUUACUUGGGUUUUGUGUUUGUUUGUUUGUUUGUUUGUUUGCUUGCUUGCUUGCUUGUAUGCUUUUGUGUUAGAGACAGAGUCUCACUCUGUCACCCAGGCUGGAGUACAGUGGUGCAAUCAUGGCUCACUGAGACCUCAAACUCCUGGGCCCAAGAGAUCUUCCUGCCUCAUCCUCCUUUGUAGCUGGAACUUACAGGCAUGAGCCAUCACACUCAGCUAAUUUCUUUCUUUUUUUUUUGGGUAGAGACAGGGUCUCUCUAUAGUGCCUGGGCUGGUCUCGAACUCCUGGCCUCAAGUGAUCCUCCCACCUCAGCCUCCCAAUGUGCUAUGACUACAGGCAUGAGCCAGUGCACCCAGCCUGAAAUUUCCUUGAUAUGUUUUGUUAAAUGAACAGAUGUUGAAGGCAAGUGUGUAUACAAAGGUCACUGGAAGGAAAUAAAAAACUUAGUGGCUUGAUCGUCUUAAACGGUGUUUACAAAUCUAAAAACGAAAAUGCUCUGCAAUUAUGAAGCAAAGAAGAUGGUCAUCCUCUCUUUAACAAAACUGUUUUUGAAGGCUUCAAAUUUGUUUUAUGUAUUUUGACAAUGCAAGUGCAAGAAGAGGCAGAAGCAAUGGACUUCUCUAAACCUUUAACAUACAAGAUGUCCAAAAUUGGUUUGAACAUGGAAUCUUUG
rnacentral:lncRNA from 1 species